rnacentral:rRNA from 1 species
AUUGAACGCUGGCGGCAGGCCUAACACAUGCAAGUCGAACGGUAACAGGAAGCAGCUUGCUGCUUUGCUGACGAGUGGCGGACGGGUGAGUAAUGUCUGGGGAACUGCCCGAUGGAGGGGGAUAACUACUGGAAACGGUAGCUAAUACCGCAUAACGUCGCAAGACCAAAGAGGGGGACCUUAGGGCCUCUUGCCAUCGGAUGUGCCCAGAUGGGAUUAGCUAGUAGGUGGGGUAACGGCUCACCUAGGCGACGAUCCCUAGCUGGUCUGAGAGGAUGACCAGCCACACUGGAACUGAGACACGGUCCAGACUCCUACGGGAGGCAGCAGUGGGGAAUAUUGCACAAUGGGCGCAAGCCUGAUGCAGCCAUGCCGCGUGUAUGAAGAAGGCCUUCGGGUUGUAAAGUACUUUCAGCGGGGAGGAAGGGAGUAAAGUUAAUACCUUUGCUCAUUGACGUUACCCGCAGAAGAAGCACCGGCUAACUCCGUG